rnacentral:rRNA from 1 species
GAUGAACGCUGGCGGCGUGCUUAACACAUGCAAGUCGAACGAGGCUGCACAUCGGAAGUUUUCGGAUGGAAGAGGUGCAGACCGAGUGGCGGACGGGUGAGUAACGCGUGGGGAAUCUGCCCCAUUCCGGGGGAUACCAGCUGGAAACGGCUGUUAAUACCGCAUAAGCGCACGGGAGGACAUCCUCCAGUGUGAAAAACUGAGGUGGAAUGGGAUGGCCCCGCGUCUGAUUAGCCAGUUGGCAGGGUAACGGCCUACCAAAGCGACGAUCAGUAGCCGGCCUGAGAGGGCGACCGGCCACAUUGGGACUGAGACACGGCCCAA